rnacentral:rRNA from 1 species
AGGAAUAUUGGUCAAUGGGCGAGAGCCUGAACCAGCCAAGUAGCGUGAAGGAUGACGGCCCUACGGGUUGUAAACUUCUUUUGUGCGGGAAUAAAGGAGCCUACGUGUAGGUUUUUGCAUGUACCGUAACGAAUAAGCAUCGGCUAACUCCGUGCCAGCAGCCGCGGUAAUACGGAGGAUGCGAGCGUUAUCCGGAUUUAUUGGGUUUAAAGGGAGCGUAGACGGGUUUUUAAGUCAGUUGUGAAAGUUUGCGGCUCAACCGUAAAAUUGCAGUUGAUACUGGUUUCCUUGAGUGCAGUUGAGGCAGGCGGAAUUCGUGGUGUAGCGGUGAAAUGCUUAGAUAUCACGAAGAACCCCGAUUGCGAAGGCAGCUUGCUAAACUGUAACUGACGUUCAUGCUCGAAAGUGUGGGUAUCAAACAGGAUUAGAUACCCUGGUAGUCCACACGGUAAACGAUGGAUACUCGCUGUUGGCGAUAUACUGUCAGCGGCCAAGCGAAAGCAUUAAGUAUCCCACCUGGGGAGUACGCCGGCAACGGUGAAACUCAAAGGAAUUGACGGGGGCCCGCACAAGCGGAGGAACAUGUGGUUUAAUUCGAUGAUACGCGAGGAACCUUACCCGGGCUUGAAUUGCAGGAGAACGAUCCAGAGAUGGUGAGGCCCUUCGGGGCUCCUGUGAAGGUGCUGCAUGGUUGUCGUCAGCUCGUGCCGUGAGGUGUCGGCUUAAGUGCCAUAACGAGCGCAACCCUCGCCGCCAGUUACUAACAGUUAAAGCUGAGGACUCUGGCGGGACUGCCAUCGUAAGAUGUGAGGAAGGUGGGGAUGACGUCAAAUCAGCACGGCCCUUACGUCCGGGGCUACACACGUGUUACAAUGGGCGGUACAGAAGGCAGCUACCUGGCGACAGGAUGCCAAUCCCGAAAGCCGCUCUCAGUUCGGACUGGAGUCUGCAACCCGACCCCACGAAGCUGGAUUCGCUAGUAAUCGCGCAUCAGCCAUGGCGCGGUGAAUACGUUCCCG